rnacentral:rRNA from 1 species
GGGAUUGUGCCAGCAGCCGCGGUAAUACSGAGGGUAGACAAGCGUUAUCCGGAUUCACUGGGUUUAAARGGUGCGUAGGCGGGCAKGUAAGUUAGUUGUGAAAUCUUCSAGCUUAACUCGGAAACUGCCUUUGAUACUAUCUKUCUUGAAUAUUGUAGUGAGCGCUAAGCGGAAUAUGUUAUGUAGCGGAUGAAAUKCUUAKAUAUGACAWAGAACACCUAUAUGCGAAGGCAGCUUACUACGCAUAUAUUGACGCUGARGCACGAAAGCGUGGGGAUCAAACAGGAUUAGAUACCCUGGUAGUCCACGCCCUAAACGAUGAUUACUCGACGUGCGCSAUACACGGUGCGCGUCUGAGCGAAAGCAUUAAGUAAUCCACCUGGGAAGUACGACCGCAAGGUUGAAACUCAAAGGAAUUGGCGGGAGUCCGCACAAGCGGUGGAGCAUGUGGUUUAAUUCGAUSAUACGCGAGGAACCUUACCUGGGCUAGAAUGCGGUCUGACCGUGGGUGAAAGCUCAUUUUGUAGCAAUACACAGAUCGUAAGGUGCUGCAUGGCUGUCGUCAGCUCGUGCCGUGAGWUGUUGGGUUAAGUCUCCGCAACGAGCGCUAACCCUAUCAUUAGUUGCCAUCAGGUAAAGCUGGGAACUCUAAUGAGACUCCCGUCGUAAGACGUGAGGAAGGAGGGGAUGAUGUCAAGUCAUCAUGGCCUUUAUGCCCAGGGCCACACUACGUGCUACAAUGGGGGGUACAAAGGGCUCGCUACCUGGUGACAGGAUGCUAAUCUCAAAAAAGCCUCUCUCAGUUCAGAUUGCAGGCUGCAACUCGCCUGCAUGAAGCUGGAAUCGCUAGUAAUCGUAGAUCAGCAACGCUACGGUGAAUACGUUCCCGGACUUUGUACUCACCGCCCGUC